rnacentral:rRNA from 1 species
GAUGAACGCUAGCGGCAGGCUUAAUACAUGCAAGUCGUACGGGAUCCGAGGUAGCAAUACUUUGGUGAGAGUGGCGCACGGGUGCGUAACACGUAUGCAACCUACCUAUAACCGGGACACAACCCACCGAAAGGUGAGCUAAUAUCCCAUAACACUGCGAGAUGGCAUCAUUUUGCAGUUAAAACUCCGGUGGUUACAGAUGGGCAUGCGCGACAUUAGCUAGUUGGUGAGGUAACGGCCCACCAAGGCUACGAUGUCUAGGGGUUCUGAGAGGAUUAUCCCCCACACUGGUACUGAGACACGGACCAGACUCCUACGGGAGGCUG